ACAGCUUCAGCUCCUGCCUAAGUUGCAACCUGCCAAACUGCCCUAGAGAUUUCAGACUUGCCAGAUACUACAAUCAGGUAGCUUUGAUUAGAACCACAGAAUCACACAAUAUUUGAACCAGAGGCUUCUGCAAGCCUAUCCCCCUGGGCAGCAAUCUCCUUGAACACCACGUGAGUGAUCAGAGGCAUCAGAGGAUGAACCAGCCCUGGGUUUCCUGAAAGGUGAGGUAUUGCCUGCUGUGGAGGCGAUGUGCAUGGGGAAUGGCCUCAUGGCCACCAUCUUUUCUGCCUGAAAAUGAGCUCAUGUGUAAAGGGAAACACCGGUGGGAAAGAGAUAGAGAGCAAGUCAAUGAAUUCAGUGGGUCCAGCCAAAAAUUCCACAUAUAAGUGAUAUCAUACAGUAUUUAUUUUCCUCUGCCUUACUUCACUGAGCAAGAUACCCUCCAAGCCUGUCCAUGCUGCUGCAAAUGGAAAAAUUUUAUUCUUUUUCAUGGCUAAGGUACAUUAAAUUGAAAGAAACAGAGGAGUAUUCUAUAUCUAGUUCUGGUUCUCCUAAAAAAAUUCAUAACUUAGUUUCAAAGGAAAUUCUUUCAAUUGAAGUACUGAACUGAUUAAAUGUUCCAUGAAAGUUUGUGGAGUUUAUAAUCAUGUGUAGAGAUGGUAAGAGAGGCUGUCUGCAAGGAAGGUGUUCAAAUAUGUUCCUUCAGUGAUUACUGAACUGUAUAGGUUAGAGGUUAAGAAUCCUAGGCUAUUGGGAGGGUGGCCUAGAGAUUAAGGAUUUGGUGUUUCACUGCUAUGGCUGGGUUCAAUCCCAUCCCUUGUCUGGGAACUGAGAUCCCACAUUAGGCCACCACAUGCCCACGGUGGCAAAAAAAAAAAAAAAAAAAAAAAAAAAAAAGCUAUAGAAUAAGUCUAUACAGGUUCAAAUCCUAUCUGUUCUGCUAUGUGACCUUAGGUAAGCGACUUAAACUUCUCUUUGGCUCAAUUUCUUUAUCUGUAAGGAUAUUAAACUUGAAAUAAUAAUACUCGUCUUCUAGUAUGUUGUAAGCGCUUAAAGACAAAUAAAACACCUCAGAAACUAGUAAAAGCAUAACAAAUGUCAAAUCAUCAUUAUCAUUGCUAAUAACCCAGAAAGCCACGCACAUAGAGAGCUGGAUUCCCUCCCCAUUCACCAGCAACUGCCUUUGUUUGGAAGAAGAGCUAAACAAGAUCUGCAGUUUUUGUUUCAGAUAUUCUUCUAGAUUAGACUGCAGAAAUUCAUGCACUUCCUAAAACAUAAACAGACUGCUCUUAUAUUUAUUCCAUGAGUUCUGGUGUUCUGAUACUAUAUUAAAGAAACAACAGCCUUCUUUCACCUCUUUCCAAGAAAAACUUGAAAUCCCAGAACUUUUUAAGCUACAUCUGCAUUACUUUUGUAAAAUAAACUGUAAAGCAUCAUCAUAAAUAAUUUAAAUCAGUUCCACCAAUUUGUAAAAAACAUUAGCAACUGUACACUCACUUAUCAAAUAGCAGUUGGGAUUUGAACUCCUCUCUGUGGUAUAAGUUGUGUGUGCUCAAUAAAUGAUGCUGGAUUUCUC
rnacentral:lncRNA from 1 species